rnacentral:rRNA from 1 species
UGGGGAGAAGACAUUGUGUCUUCGAGUCGUUGAUUUCACACUGCCGAGAAAAGCCUCUAGAUAGAAAAUAGGUGCCCGUACCGCAAACCGACACAGGUAGUCAAGAUGAGAAUUCUAAGGUGAGCGAGCGAACUCUCGUUAAGGAACUCGGCAAAAUGACCCCGUAACUUCGGGAGAAGGGGUGCUCUUUAGGGUUAACGCCCAGAAGAGCCGCAGUGAAUAGGCCCAAGCGACUGUUUAUCAAAAACACAGGUCUCUGCUAAACCGUAAGGUGAUGUAUAGGGGCUGACGCCUGCCCGGUGCUGGAAGGUUAAGAGGAGUGGGUAG